AUUUGAAAGUUAAAAAGUUGGAAUCCAAAAGAAACAAAAAAAGCAGAAGAGCUUGGUGGCUGUCAGGCAGAGGCGGUGUCAAAUGGCCCCUCCAUAGCUUUCACUCACCAUUUUCAGGCGGUCACUCGACCUUUUCCAUAUCCUUAUCUCUCUCUCCCUCUCCUGUGUUUGUGGGUGUGAGAACUCCGCAGGGCUUUCUUUUUUCUUGUUUUUAUUCCUUUCUCUCGGAGAAUUACAAGGAAGGAAAGAAAGAGAUGGAGUCUGAGAAUAUUGAAGCUAAUCAAGCAAACAAAGAAGGGAUUUCUCUGUACGGUGGCAAGUAUGUACAGUACAACAUUCUGGGUAAUCUCUUUGAAGUCUCCGCCAAAUAUGCCCCUCCUAUUCAUCCAGUCGGUCGCGGUGCAUACGGCAUCGUCUGCUGUGCAACAAACUCUGAGACAAAAGAAGAGGUUGCAAUCAAGAAAUUGGGAAUGCAUUUGACAAUAGGAUCGAUGCGAAGAGGACGCUUCGAGAGAUAAAGCUCCUUUGUCAUAUGGAUCAUGACAAUGUUAUCAAAAUUAAGGACAUCAUAAAGCCGGCAGAUAGGGAAAAGUUCAAUGAUGUUUACUUUGUAUAUGAAUUGAUGGAUACUGACUUGAAUCAGAUAAUACACUCCAGCCAGGCUUUGACAGAUGAUCACUGUCAGUAUUUCCUGUAUCAAUUACUGCGGGGAUUGAAGUACAUACACUCUGCAAAUGUUUUGCACCGCGACCUGAAACCGAGUAACCUGCUUCUCAAUGCAAAUUGUGACCUUAAGAUUUGUGACUUUGGGCUUGCAAGAACUACAUCAGAGACAGAUUUCAUGACAGAAUAUGUUGUAACUCGUUGGUAUCGAGCCCCAGAGUUACUACUCAACUGUUCAGAAUACACUGCAGCAAUUGAUAUUUGGUCAGUAGGGUGCAUCUUCAUGGAAAUUCUUAAGAGGGAACCACUGUUUCCCGGUAAAGACUAUGUUCAGCAGUUGAGUCUCAUAACUGAGCUGCUAGGUUCACCAGAUGAUUCAGAUCUUGGCUUUUUAAGAAGUGAUAAUGCUAGGAAGUAUGUCAAGCAGCUCCCACAUUUCCCGAAGCAACCCUUUGCCGAGAAAUUCCCAAAUGUCUGGCCACUGGCAAUUGAUCUUGCAGAAAGAAUGCUAGUUUUUGAUCCAAGCAAACGUAUUACUGUGGAGGAAGCACUGAACCAUCCAUUUUUAUCAAGUCUUCACGAGAUAAAUGAGGAGCCUGUUUGCCCAUCUCCGUUCGUCUUUGACUUUGAGCAGGCAUCCCUGGAUGAAGAAGAUAUAAAGGAGCUUAUAUGGAGGGAGUCUCUACACUUCAAUCCAGACAACAUGUUGGGAUAAUUUUGUCGGCCGCGACCUGUAUUCUCUUUCUGUUGUGUUUUCCACCGACCGGCAUCUCAUUUGAAGGAUGCUUUUGGUUACGGAAGGUUGGUAAUGUAUCUCAUUUGUGAGGAGAUUCUAUAUAAGAAGAUUAACUAGGGGAGACGGGGGUUCUCCUUUGUGUUGAGAGGAUGAAACGGCGGUUUCAUAACGAGAGUGAUAUGGUAAUGUGAAGCUUCUGGAUUGAUUCAAUCUGAGAGUCUAGUAAGAGCUGAGGGUUCUCCCGGCCUUCUUUGGAUUUGACGUGGUUUGUAUAUAAAAGUAAGAAUAUAGCGGUCUUUAUACUUUUUUGGAUUGGACUUUCUUGUGAACCUUUUUGAGUAAA